rnacentral:tRNA from 1 species
GCCUGGGUGGCUCAGUCGGUUAAGCGUCUGACUUCGGCUCAGGUCAUGAUCUCACGGUUCGUGGGUUCGAGCCCUGCAUUGGGCU